rnacentral:rRNA from 1 species
AGUGAACGUUGGCGGCGUGGAUUAGGCAUGCAAGUCGAGCGAUCGUAGCAAUACGGGAGCGGCAAAACGGGGUAGGGAAUACAUCGGAACGUACCUUUUGGUUGAGAAUAGCGUUGGGAAACUGACGGUAAUACUCAAUAAAGUCGAGAGACCAAAGGUUUACUGCCGGAAGAGCGGCCGAUGCGAUAUUAGGUAGUUGGUGGGGUAAUGGCCUACCAAGCCUGAGAUGUCUAGGGGGUGUGAGAGCAUGGCCCCCACCACUGGGACUGAGAUACUGCCCAGACACCUACGGGUGGCUGCAGUCGAGGAUCUUCGUCAAUGGGCGAAAGCCUGAACGAGCGACGCCGGCGUGCGGGAUGAAGGCCCUUGGGUUGUAAACCGCUGUC